rnacentral:rRNA from 1 species
GAUGAACGCUGGCGGCGUGCCUAAUACAUGCAAGUCGAGCGAACUGAUUAGAAGCUUGCUUCUAUGACGUUAGCGGCGGACGGGUGAGUAACACGUGGGUAACCUGCCUGUAAGACUGGGAUAACUUCGGGAAACCGAAGCUAAUACCGGAUAGGAUCUUCUCCUUCAUGGGAGCUGAUUGAAAGAUGGUUUCGGCUAUCACUUACAGAUGGGCCCGCGGUGCAUUAGCUAGUUAGUGAGGUAACGGCUCACCAAGGCAACGAUGCAUAGCCGACCUGAGAGGGUGAUCGGCCACACUGGGACUGAGACACGGCCCAGACUCCUACGGGAGGCAGAAGUAGGGAAUCUUCCGCAAUGGACGAAAGUCUGACGGAGCAACGCCGCGUGAGUGAUGAAGGCUUUCGGGUCGUAAAACUCUGUUGUUAGGGAAGAACAAGUACAAGAGUAACUGCUUGUACCUUGACGGUACCUAACCAGAAAGCCACGGCUAACUACGUGCCAGCCGCUGCGGUAACAC